AGUGAACGCUGGCGGCAGGCCUAACACAUGCAAGUCGAACGGCAGCACAGAGGAGCUUGCUCCUUGGGUGGCGAGUGGCGGACGGGUGAGGAAUGCAUCGGAAUCUGCCUAUUUGUGGGGGAUAACGUAGGGAAACUUACGCUAAUACCGCAUACGUCCUACGGGAGAAAGUGGGGGACCGCAAGGCCUCACGCAGAUAGAUGAGCCGAUGCCGGAUUAGCUAGUUGGCGGGGUAAAGGCCCACCAAGGCGACGAUCCGUAGCUGGUCUGAGAGGAUGACCAGCCACACUGGAACUGAGACACGGUCCAGACUCCUACGGAAGGCAGCAGUGGGGAAUAUUGGACAAUGGGCGCAAGCUUGAUCCAGCCAUGCCGCGUGUGUGAAGAAGGCCUUCGGGUUGUAAAGCACUUUUGUCCGGAAAGAAAAGCAUUCGAUUAAUACUCGGGUGUUAUGACGGUACCGGAAGAAUAAGCACCGGCUAACUUCGUGCCAGCAGCCGCCGUAACAC
rnacentral:rRNA from 1 species